GACGAACGCUGGCGGCGUGGAUUAGGCAUGCAAGUCGAACGGUAUCAUCCUUUCGGGGGUGAGAGAGUGGCGAACUGGUGAGUAACACGUAGGUUAUCUACCCUCAAGACGGGGACAACCCAGGGAAACUUGGGCUAAUACCGGAUGUGAGCAACUUUUUAGUUGUUUGAAAGGUGGCGUAAGCUGUCGCUUGGGGAUGAGCCUGCGUCCUAUUAGUUAGUUGGUGAGGUAACGGCUCACCUAGGCAAUGAUAGGUAGGCGGCCUUAACGGGUGGUCGCCCACACUGGGAUUGAGAUACGGCCCAGACUCCUACGGGAGGCAGCAGUCGAGAAUAGUCUACAAUGGUCGGAAGACUGAUAGUGCGACGCCGCGUGAACGAUGAAUCCCUUCGGGGUUAAAGUUCUUUUAUAUGUGAGCAGUGCUUCUUAUAUUUAACAGUAUGGGGAAGAGAUAUUAGCAUAUGAAUAAGCAAACGGCUAAACUCCGUGCCAGCAGCCGGGUAAUCU
rnacentral:rRNA from 1 species